GGUGGGUGUGGUGGCAUACACCUGCAGUCCAGCUACUCGGGAGGCGGAGAGGGAAGGGUUGCUUGAGUCCGAGAGUUCUGGGCUGUAGUGUGCUAUGCCUUUUGGGUGUGUGCACUAAGUUCAGCAUCAGUAUGGUGACCUCCUGGGGGCUCCCGUCAGAAAUGGAGCAGGUCAGAACUCCUGUGCUGAUCAGUAAGUAGUGGGAUGGUGUCUGUGCAUAGCUACUGCACUCCAGCCUGGGCAACAUAGUGAGACCUCGUCUCUU
ensembl:misc_RNA Metazoa_SRP Metazoan signal recognition particle RNA